rnacentral:tRNA from 1 species
AUAUCCAGGGUAGCCUAGUGGACAUGGCAUCUUCCCGGUAAGCGGAACACUGUGGGUUCGAUUCCCAUCCCAUACU